rnacentral:lncRNA from 1 species
CCUGGAGCACAUUUUCUCCUUUCUGCCCCCUUGUAACAAAGAGAAAUGUUUUUAUACCAGUUUCACAUCUGUUGUCCCCCACCUUUCUCUUGUGUGUAGGGAGAUGCAUUUCAUCUUCAGCUGUUCCAGCCUGAGAUUUGUCAUUAUAAUUAAUCAGAGGAGGUGAGGAUCUCAGUGAGAUUACAAAGCAUCCUGGAACCAGAUCAAGGACUACUGGGGAUUGGAGUCCGGGGUUCAAGUCUCCAUUUUUACACCCCUCAUUUUCCAAUUUUUUGCCACCACAAAGAGAUUUAUGAUUGUUGUUUCAAUAAGAAAGUCAGAAGAAUUGAUUGGCAGGGCAAGAAGAAGGCAACUAAACUGCUGCCCAAAGCACUAAGUAAGGCAUCAGCAUUAGCUCGACUAUGAAGGUCUAAAAGCAGAGGAAAGGACAGACCUCUGGAAUGGUGGCCUUCUAAAAUGAAUUUUAUGUUACAAAACCUUGUUGACUGUAAG